rnacentral:rRNA from 1 species
GGGUUGUGAGGUUAAGCGACCAAGCGUACACGGUGGAUGCCCUGGCAGUCAGAGGCGAUGAAGGACGUGCUAAUCUGCGAAAAGCGCCGGUAAGGUGAUAUGAACCGUUAUAACCGGCGAUGUCCGAAUGGGGAAACCCAGUGUGACUCGUCACACUAUCAUUAACUGAAUCCAUAGGUUAAUGAGGCGAACCGGGGGAACUGAAACAUCUAAGUACCCCGAGGAAAAGAAAUCAACCGAGAUUCCCCCAGUAGCGGCGAGCGAACGGGGAGGAGCCCAGAGCCUGAAUCAGCAUGUGUGUUAGUGGAAGCGUCUGGAAAGGCGCGCGAUACAGGGUGACAGCCCCGUACACAAAAGCGCAUAUGCUGUGAGCUCGAUGAGUAGGGCGGGACACGUGGUAUCCUGUCUGAAUAUGGGGGGACC